UACGAAGGGGGCUAGCGUUGCUCGGAAUCACUGGGCGUAAAGCGCACGUAGGCGGCUUUUUAAGUCAGGGGUGAAAUCCUGGAGCUCAACUCCAGAACUGCCUUUGAUACUGAGAAGCUUGAGUCCGGGAGAGGUGAGUGGAACUGCGAGUGUAGAGGUGAAAUUCGUAGAUAGUCGCAAGAACACCAGUGGCGAAGGCGGCUCUCUGGCCCGGUACUGACGCUGAGGUGCGAAAGCGUGGGGAGCAAACAGG
rnacentral:rRNA from 1 species